CACGGAGGGGUGGUAAAGGCAGUGCUCCGGGGUACUGGAGCAGCGGGAGUCUCAGGACCUGGUGUCUGCCAUGUCCUGUGCCCCUCCUGGAUUCCGCUAGCCAUCUGGGCUAGAUUUUCACUGGUCUCCUCAACGGGUCUGUGCCCACCCUGCUGCUUUCCAGAAAUCUGUUGUGCUUUGAAGACUUCUAUUCCUUUUGCCCAUAUGAUUCUUCAUUCCCAGGUGUUCGCAGUUACCUACCACAUUCAUCCAGCAUCUGUACCCUGUCCCUCCUGAUGUGACCACCUGGAAAUGCCUUUUCCCAAGCAGCCUGGGGGACACGAUGCACCUUUCAAAACCGCUUUUCCAUGGCUGCACAGUAUAGGGUGUAAGGAAGUGGUCCAGUUCUUUUGCAUGUUACUGGCCAGUUCUCCCAACACAGCUAACGUCCUACUCAAGGGUGGCAUGUGACUGAAGUCCCUCAUGACAGGAAAACUCCAGAGGCAAUGGCACAGUGCCCCUUCCCAGAAAGGCGAGAAGACAGUGCAACUCCCGGUGGGGAGGGGAAUUGGAGAAUGGGAAACUAACUACAGCUGGGUAACAUCACUCAGCAGCAAGGCGGCAAUGGCUACCUGGUGUCCCUUAUGAUCCCACAGUUUGUCGUAUCUAUGGCUGGUGGAUUUGGGGUCCAGUUUUGCAGGGUAUGUGAAGCGGGCAGACUCUACCUGGCUGAAAAUAUGAUUUGGGCUAUAUUAAAAGCAAGUGGAUUUUUAAGAUUUGAGUUUGGCACUGGCGAGCUUUGAAGUAAUGGUCCCGGUUCGCUAUGAAGAAGUAACAAAGAGAAGGCCCAUAGAUACAGGCCACACUUGCCUCAUUUAUGUAACAAUCUUGAACUUUUAUGUGAGGUAAUGAUAAGAUUGGUUCUUUUUCAAAUAGAGAUGAGGUUGUUCCAGCAUCACUUGCUUUGAAAAGACUGUAAUUCCUCUACUAGGUUGCAUUGUUUGUUGUUCAUCAAAUUUGUUGCAGUUCAACUGAUUUGUACCUCUAUUUCUAGGUUGUUCCAUCUGUUCUGUUUCUUUACAGGUCUGUCCCUGUUCUUCAGGUCUUGAUCAUUGUAGCUUUAUAGUAAGUCCUGAAACCAGACAGUGUGAGUCCUCCAAUCUGGUUUUUCACAAUGAUCUGGGGAUAUUCUAGGUCCUUUGUAUCUCCACGUGUAUUUUAGAAUCUAUCAAUUUGUCCAGAAAGUGUGCUGGGAGUACAUUGAAACUAAACAUCAGUUGGGGGAAAAUUGAUACCUUUACAAUGUUUAGUGUUCCAAUAACGGCUAUAUAUUUAUUUAGCU